rnacentral:lncRNA from 1 species
AGGCCAGCUUGGUCUACAGAGAUCCGCCUGCCUCUGCCUCCCGAGUGCUGGGAUUAAAGGCAUGCUCCACCAACACCCGGCCAAUUUAUCUGUUUUAAAAAUGCCUUGACUUCAAAAUUUAAGUCUAAGGACAUGUUACUUUGGAAAAGAGGUUCUGCUUUUGUUUCCACAGAAGAUGAAAAGCUGUGGAUUCCUUCCAGACUAAUAUGGUUUGAUCAAGCAAGACCCCUGAAGCAGUGGUCCAGGAGAUCCAAAAUCCAAGACAGCAAAGACUAUGCAGCCUUGCAGAAUACUACAGCCAGGUCUUUGAAGUGUUUGAAGAUCAAAUAUCUAUGUCUGACUAACCUCAUAGGUAUAGGAAGUAUGGUGCUGGGAUUAAAGGCGUGCACCACCAACGACAGGCUGGCAGAAGAGACUUUAAAGAUGUAAUUAGGAGACCCAGAGGCAGUGCUGGACUACCCAGGACUCGGGAUUAAGAGGUAGACAGAUCUCUAUGAGUUCAAGGCCACCUACCUGCCACAUUGAAGAUAGAAGGAUUCAUUCUCCAGCCCCCCUGUGGAGAGGCAGCAGUCUGAGGCUUGGUGAGAGCUGGGGGAGACAGAAUCAGCCCUUUCAGCUUGAGGCAGAGCUUGGAAGCUGGACCUGAUGCCUCACACUUGUAAUUAAUGACCCAAGGCCUCAGGUGAACCGAGAAACUCCAGCAGAGGAGUUGACAAGACGAUAAAACUUGACCACAAGAAGGUCAACAUACUAACCUCCUUUGGUUUUUACAACUUUGAGACAAUUUAACUGGAACAGAUCUGCAGAGGAAAACUGCC